rnacentral:rRNA from 1 species
AGUGAACGCUGGCGGUAGGCCUAACACAUGCAAGUCGAACGGCAGCACAGAGGAGCUUGCUCCUUGGGUGGCGAGUGGCGGACGGGUGAGGAAUACAUCGGAAUCUACUCUGUCGUGGGGGAUAACGUAGGGAAACUUACGCUAAUACCGCAUACGACCUACGGGUGAAAGCAGGGGACCUUCGGACCUUGCGCGAUUGAAUGAGCCGAUGUCGGAUUAGCUAGUUGGCGGGGUAAAGGCCCACCAAGGCGACGAUCGGUAGCUGGUCUGAGAGGAGGAUCAGCCACACUGGAACUGCGAAACGGUCCAGACUCCGACGGGAGGAAGCAGUGGGGAAGAUUGAACAAUGGGCGCAAGCCUGAUCCAGCAAUACCGCGGGGGUGAAGAAGGCCUUCGGGUUGUAAAGCCCUUUUGUUGGGAAAGAAGUCCAGCUGGCUAAUACCCGGUUGGGAUGACGGUACCCAACGAAUAAGCACCGGCUAACUUCGUGCCAGCCGCCGCGGUAA